CCGACGGGACUGGGUUAUUCACGCACGCGCAGAACCUUACCAGCCCUUGACAUGUCCAGGACCGGUCGCAGAGAUGUGACCUUCUCUUCGGAGCCUGGAACACAGGUGCUGCAUGGCUGUCGUCAGCUCGUGUCGUGAGAUGUUGGGUUAAGUCCCGCAACGAGCGCAACCCCCGUCCUUAGUUGCUACCAUUUAGUUGAGCACUCUAAGGAGACUGCCGGUGAUAAGCCGCGAGGAAGGUGGGGAUGACGUCAAGUCCUCAUGGCCCUUACGGGCUGGGCUACACACGUGCUACAAUGGCGGUGACAAUGGGAUGCUAAGGGGCGACCCUUCGCAAAUCUCAAAAAGACGUCUCAGUUCGGAUUGGGCUCUGCAACUCGAGCCCAUGAAGUUGGAAUCGCUAGUAAUCGUGGAUCAGAACACCACGGAGAAUACGUUCCCGGGCCUUGUACACACCGCCAGUAUUAUCCGACCCCCAUAUCUUUAUAGACUUCUCAUCU
rnacentral:rRNA from 1 species